UUUUGCCUUUGUUACAGUAACUUAAGUAAGAUAAGGAAUCCUUUAAUCAUAAUCUGUUUUUCAUUAGGACACUUGACUGGUUACUCGCCGCAGCAGUUUCUGGAUGAAAGGUGUCGAGCUCGUCAAGUACUAAGCUUUACACCCCCAGCAGCAAAUUUACCCUGGCAGCAUAUGUGAAAACGCUGGAGGAGAAAGUCAUCGCUCUGUAAUUGGCCCUUGGACUCCCCUGGCAUCUCAUGUACAGCAUGAAGUUUUCAGCUAUGAAGAUUUCCAGAGACUCCAGAAUGAAAAACAAGCCGUGAUGGAGGAGAACCAAGCCCUUAGGGAGGAGAACCAAGCCCUUAGGGAGGAGAACCAAGCCCUUAGGGAGGAGAACCAAGCUCUGAGGGAUUGUUUUUCACGAGCA